ensembl:lncRNA
AUUAGGGAUUGGACAGUUGGCAGUGUUGCCUGGACAACAGGGAUGAGGCAGUAGGCAUCUGAAAGUACAAAUUAGACAGUAGGAAUUGUAAAGUAGGGAUAUUAAUGUAGAUAUAUGACAGUAGGGAUUGAGCAGUAAGGAUUUGGCAGCAUGAAUUGGACAGUAGGGGUUGAGCAGGUGGAAAAGCAUAGUUGGGAUUAAACAGCAGGGAAUGAAUAAAAGGGAUCGGACAGUAGGGACUUGGAAAUAGAAACUGGACGGUUGGAAUUGGACACCAUGAAUCGCAAGAAUUGGAACUUGGCGGUUAAGUAUCCUGGAGUGCUGAUCCAGGCACAAUCGAAUCCCAAAGUUGGUGAAGGAGCCAAAAGACUAAGUGUGUUGAUGAAAGGACAGAGUGAACCACAGCCUGGGGGUUGUUG